UACAGAGGUCUCAAGCGUUGUUCGGAUUCAUUGGGCGUAAAGGGUGCGUAGGUGGCGCGGUAAGUCGGGUGUGAAAUCUCGGAGCUUAACUCCGAAAUUGCAUUCGAUACUGCCGUGCUUGAGGACUGGAGAGGAGACUGGAAUUCAUGGUGUAGCAGUGAAAUGCGCAGAUAUCGGGAAGAACACCCGUGGCGAAGGCGGCUCUCUGGGACGGUACUGACGCUGAGACGCGAAAGCGUGGGGAGCAAACAGG
rnacentral:rRNA from 1 species